rnacentral:rRNA from 1 species
CAGCCGCCGCGGGAAUACAGAGGGUGCAAGCGUUAAUCGGAAUUACUGGGCGUAAAGCGCGCGUAGGUGGUUUGUUAAGUUGGAUGUGAAAUCACCGGGCUCAACCUGGGAACUGCAUCCAAAACUGGCAAGCUAGAGUAUGGUAGAGGGUGGUGGAAUUUCCUGUGUAGCGGUGAAAUGCGUAGAUAUAGGAAGGAACACCAGUGGCGAAGGCGACCACCUGGACUGAUACUGACACUGAGGUGCGAAAGCGUGGGGAGCAAACAGGAUUAGAUACCCCCGUAGUCCCUGUCUCUUAUAC